rnacentral:rRNA from 1 species
CAAUAGCGUAUAUUAAAGUUGUUGCAGUUAAAAAGCUCGUAGUUGGAUUUGUGGCGUACGGUGUGUUCCGGGCACUUGUUGUCUGAGUAACCUGCUGUUGCCAUCCUUGGGUGGAACCUGUGUGGCAUUAGGUUGUCGUGCAGGGGAUGCCCAUCAUUUACUGUGAAAAAAUUAGAGUGUUCAAAGCAGGCUUAUGCCGUUGAAUAUAUUAGCAUGGAAUAAUGAGAUAGGACUUUUUUGCUAUUUUGUUGGUUUGCGCAAAGAGGUAAUGAUUAAUAGGGACAGUUGGGGGUAUCCGUAUUCCAUUGUCAGAGGUGAAAUUCUUGGAUUUUUGGAAGACGAACUACUGCGAAAGCAUUUACCAAGGAUGUUUUCAUUAA